AGUGAACGCUGGCGGUAGGCCUAACACAUGCAAGUCGAACGGCAGCACAGUAAGAGCUUGCUCUUACGGGUGGCGAGUGGCGGACGGGUGAGGAAUACAUCGGAAUCUACUUUUUCGUGGGGGAUAACGUAGGGAAACUUACGCUAAUACCGCAUACGACCUACGGGUGAAAGCAGGGGAUCUUCGGACCUUGCGCGAUUGAAUGAGCCGAUGUCGGAUUAGCUAGUUGGCGGGGUAAAGGCCGACCAAGGCGACGAUCCGUAGCUGGUCUGAGAGGAUGAUCCGCCACACUGGAACUGAGACACGGUCCAGACUCCUACGGGAGGCAGCAGUGGGGAAUAUUGGACAAUGGGCGCAAGCCUGAUCCAGCCAUACCGCGUGGGUGAAGAAGGCCUUCGGGUUGUAAAGCCCUUUUGUUGGGAAAGAAAAGCAGCAGGUUAAUACCCCGCUGUUCUGACGGUACCCAAAGAAUAAGCACCGGCUAACUUCGUG
rnacentral:rRNA from 1 species